AAUUCCUGGCUAAAUUUCUGAUAACUGAUAAGUAAUAUUAUGUUUCACAUUUUGAUAUCAGUUAAAAAGUGAAUAAUGUUUUAAUUAAUUAAUAAAAUUACUAUUUAUUAUUUUGGUUAGAGUAAAAACAGUAGAGCUUGUAAUAGUUUCUUAACAUGAACGAAAACAGACAAAAAAACAUUUCAAUUACAGCAUGGCUAGAAAAACGAUCUAAACCAAAUGUGAAUGAUCUAGUUCCAAUUGCUGUAUCUUCUGUAAAUCAGUGAGCUGAAUUACAAGGCACAACAGUUUUCAAGAAAAAGGAUUUGGAUUCUAAGUACAUUAAACUUUUAAAAUCGUUUUGCUGAACACUUAUGAUCAAAUAUAUAUUAAUUUUUCAUCACAUUAAUCUGUUAAGCUAGUUAAUUGUAAGUUUAUUUAAGUUCUAAGUUUCAAUAGGAUUUAGUUAUUAACUAAAAUAGAAUUUUAAAAACACAGUAUUCUGUUUUCAUCAUUUGAACGGGAAUAGUUCAUUUUAAAUCUGUUCUAUUACACAGUUUGCCUUUUUAUUCUAUGUAGUCCUAAUAUUAUUUAUAUAGACUUAAAAAACGCCAGCCUUUGAUAAAAUUAAAAAUAAUAUGUUCCCAUUAGGAACUUAUAAUUGUCAUUAUCAUUUAGAAACAUAUGUCGAUGAUAACCUUUUACUGAUUAAAUUAUACUGAAUAUUAAUAAUUUGUCAAAUGAAGGCUGAUAUAAGUACCUACAAUAUAUUAUAUUAUAUUAUAUUUGUGCACUGUUUACAGUUCAUGUUUCAUUUUUUUUACUUGUACGCUUACACUUACACUUACUUUUUGGACACGAUUUGCAUGUCUAUCUUAUAUAAUAAUAACCUUGUAUCCCUACCUAUACUUAUGCCAAAAAUUGCUAAAAAAAUUCAACUUAAAAAAAAUAGAUAAUUUUUGUUGUAUAUCAAAAGUAUAUAAGUAUUUAUCAAGUAUUGUAUAAUUAUUUUUUUUACAUUUUUACAAUUUUUUAUAUAUAUAUUUUUUUUAAUAUUUUAAACAAAUUGACAAUAUACAUUAAAUGGCAGCAUUGCACAGACAA